CCUUGACAUGCAGAGAACUUCCAGAGAUGGAUUGGUGCCUUCGGGAACUCUGACACAGGUGCUGCAUGGCUGUCGUCAGGCUCGUGUCGUGAGAUGUUCGGGUUAAGUCCCGUAACGAGCGCAACCCUUGUCCUUAGUUACCAGCACGUUAUGGUGGGCACUCUAAGGAGACUGCCGGUGACAAACCGGAGGAAGGUGGGGAUGACGUCAAGUCAUCAUGGCCCUUACGGCCUGGGCUACACACGUGCUACAAUGGUCGGUACAAAGGGUUGCCAAGCCGCGAGGUGGAGCUAAUACCCAUAAAACCGAUCGUAGUCCGGAUCGCAGUCUGCAACUCGACUGCGUGAAGUCGGAAUCGCUAGUAAUCGUGAAUCAGAAUGUCACGGUGAAUACGUUCCCGGGCCUU
rnacentral:rRNA from 1 species